AUUGAACGCUGGCGGCAGGCCUAACACAUGCAAGUCGAGCGGAUGAAGAGAGCUUGCUCUCUGAUUUAGCGGCGGACGGGUGAGUAAUGCCUAGGAAUCUGCCUGGUAGUGGGGGAUAACGUUCCGAAAGGAACGCUAAUACCGCAUACGUCCUACGGGAGAAAGCAGGGGACAUUCGGGCCUUGCGCUAUCAGAUGAGCCUAGGUCGGAUUAGCUAGUUGGGGAGGUAAUGGCUCACCAAGGCUACGAUCCUUAACUGGUCUGAGAGGAUGAUCAGUCACACUGGAACUGAGACACGGUCCAGACUCCUACGGGAGGCAGCAGUGGGGAAUAUUGGACAAUGGGCGAAAGCCUGAUCCAGCCAUGCCGCGUGUGUGAAGAAGGUCUUCGGAUUGUAAAGCACUUUAAGUUGGGAGGAAGGGCAGUAAGCUAAUACCUUGCUGUUUUGACGUUACCGACAGAAUAAGCACCGGCUAACUUCGUGCCAGCCGCCGCAGUAACAC
rnacentral:rRNA from 1 species